UACGGGGGGGGCAAGCGUUGUUCGGAAUUACUGGGCGUAAAGGGCUCGUAGGUGGCCAACUAAGUCAGACGUGAAAUCCCUCGGCUUAACCGGGGAACUGCGUCUGAUACUGGAUGGCUUGAGUUUGGGAGAGGGAUGCGGAAUUCCAGGUGUAGCGGUGAAAUGCGUAGAUAUCAUGAGGAAGACCAGUGGCGAAGGCGGGUCUCUGGACAGUUCCUGACACUGAGGCACGAAGGCCAGGGGAGCAAACGGG
rnacentral:rRNA from 1 species